rnacentral:rRNA from 1 species
CAGGCUUAACACAUGCAAGUCGAGGGGCAGCAUGGUCUUAGCUUGCUAAGGCCGAUGGCGACCGGCGCACGGGUGAGUAACACGUAUCCAACCUGCCGUCUACUCUUGGACAGCCUUCUGAAAGGAAGAUUAAUACAAGAUGGCAUCAUGAGUCCGCAUGUUCACAUGAUUAAAGGUAUUCCGGUAGACGAUGGGGAUGCGUUCCAUUAGAUAGUAGGCGGGGUAACGGCCCACCUAGUCUUCGAUGGAUAGGGGUUCUGAGAGGAAGGUCCCCCACAUUGGAACUGAGACACGGUCCAAACUCCUACGGGAGGCAGCAGUGAGGAAUAUUGGUCAAUGGGCGAGAGCCUGAACCAGCCAAGUAGCGUGAAGGAUGACUGCCCUAUGGGUUGUAAACUUCUUUUAUAAAGGAAUAAAGUCGGGUAUGGAUACCCGUUUGCAUGUACUUUAUGAAUAAGGAUCGGCUAACUCCGUGCCAGCAGCCGCGGUAAUACGGAGGAUCCGAGCGUUAUCCGGAUUUAUUGGGUUUAAAGGGAGCGUAGAUGGAUGUUUAAGUCAGUUGUGAAAGUUUGCGGCUCAACCGUAAAAUUGCAGUUGAUACUGGAUAUCUUGAGUGCAGUUGAGGCAGGCGGAAUUCGUGGUGUAGCGGUGAAAUGCUUAGAUAUCACGAAGAACUCCGAUUGCGAAGGCAGCCUGCUAAGCUGCAACUGACAUUGAGGCUCGAAAGUGUGGGUAUCAAACAGGAUUAGAUACCCUGGUAGUCCACACGGUAAACGAUGAAUACUCGCUGUUUGCGAUAUACUGCAAGCGGCCAAGCGAAAGCGUUAAGUAUUCCACCUGGGGAGUACGCCGGCAACGGUGAAACUCAAAGGAAUUGACGGGGGCCCGCACAAGCGGAGGAACAUGUGGUUUAAUUCGAUGAUACGCGAGGAACCUUACCCGGGCUUAAAUUGCAGAUGAAUUACGGUGAAAGCCGUAAGCCGCAAGGCAUCUGUGAAGGUGCUGCAUGGUUGUCGUCAGCUCGUGCCGUGAGGUGUCGGCUUAAGUGCCAUAACGAGCGCAACCCUUGUUGUCAGUUACUAACAGGUUCCGCUGAGGACUCUGACAAGACUGCCAUCGUAAGAUGUGAGGAAGGUGGGGAUGACGUCAAAUCAGCACGGCCCUUACGUCCGGGGCUACACACGUGUUACAAUGGGGGGUACAGAGGGCCGCUACCACGCGAGUGGAUGCCAAUCCCCAAAACCUCUCUCAGUUCGGACUGGAGUCUGCAACCCGACUCCACGAAGCUGGAUUCGCUAGUAAUCGCGCAUCAGCCACGGCGCGGUGAAUACGUUCCCGGGCCUUGUACACAUCGCCCGUCAAGCCAUGGGAGCCGGGGGUACCUGAAGUGCGUAACCGCGAGGAGCGCCCUAGGGUAAAACUGGUGACUGGGGCUAAGUCG